rnacentral:rRNA from 1 species
CGCCUUCUGCCUAAUUAUAGAAGGUCCAGCCUGCCCAGUGAAUUAAUUCAACGGCCGCGGUAUCCUAACCGUGCGAAGGUAGCGUAAUCACUUGUUCUUUAAAUGAGGACUAGUAUGAAUGGCACCACGAAGGUUAUACUGUCUCCCACUUCUAAUCAGUUAAACUAAUCUCCACGUGAAGAAGCGUGAAUAAUCAUAUAAGACGAGAAGACCCUAUGGAGCUUUAAAUAGUGCAACAUGUGUUUUUAUUAUUUAACUUCAUGAAAAAACCUACAUUUAAACAUUUUGAUUGCUAAUUUUUGGUUGGGGUGACCGCGGAGUAAAAAAUAACCUCCAUAAUGAAAGAAAUUAUUUUCUAAACCUAGAGCUACAACUCAAAGUAUUAUUAAAUUAACAUCCUUUGAUCCAAUAUAUUGAUCAACGAACAAAGUUACCCUAGGGAUAACAGCGCAAUCUACUUCAAGAGCUCCUAUCGACAAGUAGGUUUACGACCUCGAUGUUGGAUCAGGGUAUCCUAGUGGUGCAGCCGCUACUAAAGGUUCGUUUGUUCAACGAUUAAAACCCU